UAGCAAAACUUGCAUGCUAUGUCUUUUAAGUUUAAAGUAGGUCCAAUUUAACAUAUUCUAAUAAUUCUUUUAUUUUUUUAUCAAAAUUUUCUUAUAAUCAACACAAACAAAUUAGAAUCAUAUAUCUCUCUCACGCGUGCGUGCAUGCAUACACAAUCAGAAGCUUACAUGUGCAUGGAUACUCUCUAUAAAUAAGAGUGGAUCAGGAAGAACUAAAGCUACAACAACCUAUAUUCUCUCCAAUAUGAAGACAUUCUACAUAAUAAUCUUUCUUUUGGCUUCCAUCAUCUUUGUUUCUUCAUCUAUAACAGCUCGGGAACUAUCUCAAACAGAAGAAAAAAGUGCCCUAGGGCGUAAGCUUAUGCAGGUGAGUACUACCCCUGCAUGCGGCAAAUCGCCAACAUAUAAAAGCUGCCUGCCACCAAGCCCGAAGAAGAAGUGUAGGAACCCAUACAAACGCAAUUGCGGGCCUUGAAAAAAUAUGGUAAUUAUAUUAAGGGUUGUAAUUGUAAUGAAAUAAAAGUGAAUGCAUGGCAAAGAAGAAUAAUUUAGUUUUGUGUCACACAAGACUAGCUUGCAGGAAUUUGCAAUCGAGGAGGAGGGGGAUUAAUAAUGCAGUUAUUAUGUUUAGUUGCCGUUUCGGAAAGCACUAUAUAUAUAGAAUAUAGUGUAAUAUAUGAAUAUGUGUGUACGUUUUGAAAGUAUGUAAUUUUCCUUUAUUUCCCUUCAGUUAAAUUAACACCCAUGUCUACUUAA